CCUACGGGAGGCAGCAGUGGGGAAUAUUGCGCAAUGGGCGGAAGCCUGAAGCAGCGACGCCGCGUGAGGGAUGAAGGUCUUCGGAUCGUAAACCUCUGUCAGCAGGGAAGAACGGACACUGUGCUAAUCAGCAGUGAAUUGACGGUACCUGCAAGGGAAGCGCCGGCUCACUCCGUGCGAGCAGCCGCGGUACUACGGAGGGGGCGAGCGUUAAUCGGAAUUACUGGGCGGAAAGCGCUCGUAGGCGGUAUGUCAAGUCAAGGGUGAAAUCCCCGCGCUCAACGUGGGAACUGCCUUUGAAACUGGCAAACUGGAGUGUGUGAGAGGAUAGUGGAAUUCCAGGUGUAGGAGUGAAAUCCGUAGAUAUCUGGAGGAACACCAGUGGCGAAGGCGACUAUCUGGCACAUAACUGACGCUGAGGAGCGAAAGCGUGGGUAGCAAACAGGAUUAGAUACCCUAGUAGUC
rnacentral:rRNA from 1 species